UACGAGAGGGGUAAGCAUUAUUCAUCAUUAAUGGGUCUAAAGGGUACGUAGGCUGUAUCAUAGGACUGAAAGGUAUCGAACUAAAUGAAUAAGAGCUUUUCAGUAACUAUGAAACUAGAGUGUAAUGGAGGAAAGAGGAACUCCGAGAGUAGGGAUGGAAUCUGUUGAUCCUCGGAAGACCGCUUAAGGCGAAGGCUUCUUUCUAACUAAGCACUGACGCUGAGGUACGAAAGUAUGGGGAGCAAAACGG
rnacentral:rRNA from 1 species